GCAGUUGUCGUCGUUAUCAAGGAAAGUUUAUAAUGUGUAUUCGGGAUCAAGUAGCCUCCAAUCACCAAGUAUAAAAUAGAGAUUGAGGUUGUCAUCUAAUCACCUCCAAGGUGCUGUGUUUGAAAAACACCUAAAUUAUGGUGGUAACUGGCAGUUGUCCACCUCUCAACCAAACCCAUGCUUGUAGCAAUUAUAUCAAAGGAUUUUAAUUACGACUGCGAAUAAGCCGGUUAGAGUGCACGACUUAAAGUAUGCUGGUUUAGAUGUUGCGUCGAAGUUGUCAACUCUGAGGUCCGAACUUGCUAAGGCUGGUUCAUCUGCAAUUAUCGUCUCUGCGCUUGAUGAAAUUGCGUGGCUGUUGAAUUUGAGAGGCAGCGAUAUCCCACAUUCACCUGUCGUGUAUGCAUAUUUGAUUGUGGAGAUUGAUGGAGCUAAAUUAUUUAUCGACAAUUCAAAAGUUACUGAAGAGGUGGAUGACCACUUGAAGAAAGCAAACAUAGAGAUCAGGCCAUACAAUUCAAUUAUAUCAGAGAUUGAAAAGUAAUUAUUGGAAUACUCUUUUUUUGAAUUUUUCUCGACCCUUCCAUUUCUCAUAUCAUUUAGUAGAAAUGGCCAAGAAUAUUACACUAGAUAGGCCGAUGUGGCUUAAAAU